rnacentral:rRNA from 1 species
GACGAACGCUGACGGUGUGCUUUAGGCAUGCAAGUCGAACGAGAAAGCCCUUCGGGGUGAGUAGAGUGGCGAACGGGUGAGUAACACGUGGGCAACCUGCCCCUCGCAGGGGGAUAACCGGAGGAAACUCCGGCUAAUACCCCGUAAGCUUUCAGGGUCGCAUGGCCCUGAAAGGAAAGGUAGCUUCGGCCAUCCGGCGAGGGAUGGGCCCGCGGUGCAUUAGCUAGUUGGUGGGGUAAAGGCCCACCAAGGCGACGAUGCGUAGCUGGUCUGAGAGGAUGAUCAGCCACACUGGGACUGAGACACGGCCCAGACUCCUACGGGAGGCAGCAGCCAGGAAUCUUGGGCAAUGGGCGAAAGCCUGACCCAGCAACACCGUGUGGGCGAUGAAGGCCUUCGGGUCGUAAAGCCCUGUUGAUGGGGACGAAGGGCGAAGGGUUAAUAGCCCCUAGCCUGACGGUACCUUUCGAGGAAGCCCCGGCUAACUACGUGCCAGCAGCCGCGGUAAUACGUAGGGGGCGAGCGUUGUCCGGAAUUAUUGGGCGUAAAGAGCGUGUAGGCGGUUCGGUAAGUCUGCCGUGAAAACCUGAGGCUCAACCUCGGGCGUGCGGUGGAUACUGCCGGGCUAGAGGACGGUAGAGGCGAGUGGA